rnacentral:rRNA from 1 species
GACGAACGCUGGCGGCGUGCUUAACACAUGCAAGUCGAGCGGAAAGGCCACUUCGGUGGUACUCGAGCGGCGAACGGGUGAGUAACACGUGAGUAAUCUGCCCUUGGCUUUGGGAUAGCCACCGGAAACGGUGAUUAAUACCGGAUACGACCACUUCUCGCAUGGGAUGGUGGUGGAAAGUUUUUUCGGCCAGGGAUGUGCUCGCGGCCUAUCAGCUUGAUGGUGAGGUAAUGGCUCACCAUGGCUUCGACGGGUAGCCGGCCUGAGAGGGUGACCGGUCACACUGGGACUGGGACACGGCCCAGACUCCUACGGGAGGCAGCAGUGGGGAAUAUUGGACAAUGGGCGGAAGCCUGAUCCAGCAACGCCGCGUGAGGGAUGACGGCCUUCGGGUUGUAAACCUCUUUCAGCAGGGACGAAGCGCAAGUGACGGUACCUGCAGAAGAAGCACCGGCCAACUACGUGCCAGCCGCCGCCGUAAUAC